rnacentral:rRNA from 1 species
CUUUCAACAACGGAUCUCUUGGUUCCAGCAUCGAUGAAGAACGCAGCGAAAUGCGAUAAGUAAUGUGAAUUGCAGAAUUCAGUGAAUCAUCGAAUCUUUGAACGCACAYUGCGCCCCUCGGUAUUCCGGGGGGCAUGCCU